UUCAUUUUGCACGAGCCCCAACGAGUGCAAUUGAUGCGCCUUGGAGUCGAGCACCUAGAAAACCUAGAACCCCUGCUGUAUAAAUUCCACCAUCAAAUAGAAAUAAUAUCAAAUAGUUUUUUGACACAUAGUUUGAGUAAAGUCGUGUAGUAAUAGGAGCAGCAAUUGGUGAUGAGGCAUCGUUGAAAUGCGUAGCCAGACCGUCCGUCAUGUAUCUCCCGUCCUUGUACUUGAUCACAAUAUGUCCACACAUGCACGCAUAAAUCUCCAAAGCCAGCUUCGCAUUAACUCACCCACACCUACAUGGUUCUGUCCAGUUUCCUGUUUUGAAUCCUCUCAGGUGCCCUUUUGUACGGACCAGCUCGGGUUUGGCCUUUAAUCUCACCCCACAAAACGGCCUGAAUCUAUUAGUCUAACCCUUCUUAGGUUUCAGUGCUCCCCCUAU
rnacentral:lncRNA from 1 species